UACGAAGGGGGCUAGCGUUGUUCGGAUUUACUGGGCGUAAAGCGCACGUAGGCGGAUCGUUAAGUGAGGGGUGAAAUCCCAGGGCUCAACCCUGGAACUGCCUUUCAUACUGGCGAUCUUGAGUCCGGAAGAGGUGAGUGGAACUCCUAGUGUAGAGGUGGAAUUCGUAGAUAUUUAGGAAGAACACCAGUGGCGAAGGCGGCUCACUGGUCCGGUACUGACGCUGAGGUGCGAAAGCGUGGGGAGCAAACGG
rnacentral:rRNA from 1 species